AACGAACGCUGGCGGCAUGCCUAACACAUGCAAGUCGAACGAGACCUUCGGGUCUAGUGGCGCACGGGUGCGUAACGCGUGGGAAUCUACCCUCAGGUUCGGAAUAACUCAGAGAAAUGUGAGCUAAUACCGGAUGAUGACGUAAGUCCAAAGAUUUAUCGCGUGAGGAUGAGCCCGCGUAGGAUUAGGUAGUUGGUGAGGUAAAGGCUCACCAAGCCGACGAUCCUUAGCUGGUCUGAGAGGAUGAUCAGCGACACUGGGACUGAGACACGGCCCAGACUCCUACGGGAGGCAGCAGUGGGGAAUAUUGGAAAAUGGGCGAAAGCCUGAUCCAGCAAUGCCGCGUGAGUGAUGAAGGCCUUAGGGUUGUAAAGCUCUUUUACCCGGGAUGAUAAUGACAGUACCGGGAGAAUAAGCUCCGGCUAACUCCGUG
rnacentral:rRNA from 1 species